CGGGGUGAGUAAUGUCUGGGAAACUGCCUGAUGGAGGGGGGUAACUACUGGAAACGGUAGCUAAUACCGCAUAACGUCGCAAGACCGAAGAGGGGGACCUUCGGGCCUCUUGCCAUCGGAUGUGCCCAGAUGGGAUUAGCUAGUAGGUGGGGUAAUGGCUCACCUAGGCGACGAUCCCUAGCUGGUCUGAGAGGAUGACCAGCCACACUGGAACUGAGACACGGUCCAG
rnacentral:rRNA from 1 species